CUUCUGUAGCGAUUGACACCCAGGAAGAGAAAUUGACUUGGUCUCGGACAUACUAAAAAAAUUAAUUUUCAAGAUGGACUUUUCCAGAAAAGCUAGACAUCGUGAGGAGAGAUCGGCCAACCCCGAAGCUAGCUAGCUUCUCUCAGGUUGUAGUGUAGAGGUUUGGAGUUGUCCUAACUGUGUUUCAUGCUGUAUUAAUAAUGUGGGUUCCUGCCGGCAGACUGAAGAAAGGGAAGCUGUGAAUUAGGAACCAGGAAGAAAAUACUCACGCUCAUGACUACUGUCUGUUCUGGCUCCACGGUGGUGGAACAAACUCCCCGUUGAGGUCAGAAUUGUAGAAUCUCUUCCCAUCUUCAAGCGCAAACUGAAGACGCACCUCUUCAAGCAGCACCUCUCCCCAUCCCUCCCUACCUCCCUGUGAACCUUAAUUGUUGUUUUUGUGAUUUACUUUGUGUUUCGGUAUUUUUAGUUGGCUAGGUAAGCAGUGUUUGGCUAGUUAAGGGGUUUGGUCAUACUUUUGCGUUUGUUUCUUUUAAAAAAAGAAAAAAUCAAAUAGGCAAUUUUUUUUGCAAUGCAAAACAUCUGUGUAGUUUUUUCCAUUCAAUAUUUAUUUAGUUAACACCAUGUAAACAGCUCUGAUAUGAGGUGCACCUGGUGAUGGCACCCAGCUGUUUUGCAUGAUGUAGGACUGAUUUUAGAAUAAUGAGAGAAGAUGGUGGCAUUUUUCCAUUAGGUGAUUCAUUAAGUUGGUAUACAUCUGUCAAUGAUUUUGUCAUGUAGCAGGGUCAGUGAGUCUCCCGUAAGGACAAACCGGGGAAUAUCAUGCCCUUAGUUCUAUAAACUUGGGAUGACUUCAUGCUUAACAUUGCAAUUGUAUUUCAGAAUGUACAAGUAACGCUGAUUAUAUCAUUGCUUCUAAUUUUCAUCAACUUCACUUUAACUUUCCACUUUGCCCCUCCUAGAGGGCAAUUUCCACCUAUUUUGUAUGAGUUCUGUAAUUUAUUUAUUUAUGAACCUUUAUUUAUACAGGAUCAGUUGACAAAGCACACAUGGUUUUUUGCAGCUGGCAGAUGGCCUCAAGUGUCCCAAACUCUCCUGAAUUGAUAGCAGAGGUUACAUACAAAUAAAUACAAAAAAGGAUAAACACUGUCUCCAAAAUAAAUAUAUCCAUUUAGCAAAUAAGAUGGAAAAAGUAAGGCUGUUUCCAAAUCUGGUGGACCAAGACGAAGCACCUGCACAUCUAGUGUGACAUACAGUAUACCUGUGAUGUUGCAUUUCUACAUAAUUGACAUUUAAGCUCUGUGACGGCAGCUUUGUAACAUAUUCAUGUCUCUGCUUUUCAAAUGACUCCUGUGCCCAGCUGUAGAAAGCAUAAAUAGACAUGAAGAAAUAUUCUCAUCAGCUUUCACCAUUCUGGCCAAGAAUCUCUCAUUAACAAGGCGUUUCUGUCUGCAGAACUGCUGCUCACUAGAUUUUUUUCUUCUUUUUUUUUGGACCAUUCUUUGCAAACUCUAGAGACUAGUGUGCGUGAAAAUCCCAGCAGAUCUGCCAUUGGGACAUUAAAAAACUACUUUCCAUAAUGAAAAAUAAUAUAACAUGACUGUAAUUUGAGCGCUUGUAAAUAAAUGUUAAUCAAAUUUUGUGUGUAACAUGAUUUUUACCAGAGCCAGAGCAAAUAUGAUGCUAUACACAAUUUACUAAUGUUUCUGAAAUUAUUUGUGUAUGCAUGUGUUUGUGAGAGAGUGUGUGAGAGUAUGUUUUCUUAAUAAAAUUAAUAAAAUUAGCCCACUGCAAGGAAUGGGACAAUUUAAGAAUGA